rnacentral:lncRNA from 1 species
UUCUCUAGCCCUCCCCCCGUUUAACGAAGACCAUUUCAAUUCUCACAGUCAAUUUAUUUUUUGACCCGGUCCGUAACCCACCUUAACCUUUUUGUAUAGUACCCCUCCACAAUAACUCAACCUCCAGAUCUCCCAACUUGUCCCACAUCCAAUUUUUAAAUGGUAAGCUCAUGAUUGAUUCUCUUGAGAAGCUGUGGUGGGUGUGAGAAGAUAAGGAAAGAUUACAGGGCAUUACAAACUUGUUGUAGCCAACGCCUGACUGCUAGUGGUGCCAAUGAUGGCAGCGGUGGAUAAUUAAACUAAUGAUAGUCGAGAGAUAUCUGGAUCUGGGUUGAAUCACAGUCUUGAUGACGUGGAUGCUUAUGUUUGUUUAAAGCUAAAUCAUUGAAAAAGGUACGUAUACAUUUCUUGAAAGAGAUGCACAAUUAUUUUUUCAAAAGAGGCAGGUAUAUAUUUCACAAAUUUAAACACUGAUUAGUAAGAUAGCGACACAGAAGAAUAAUAGUACCUCGUACAAGUCUUUCCAUCUGAAAGUUACAUUUUUACUACUGAUUUUCUCAACCACUGACUUGAAACUCCUCUGACCAAAUCUCUUCUGAUAGAAAUUUUGCCAGAGAUAGUUAGUCAAGUGGCUAAGGUCUGUUCCCUACAAAAGAAAUCAAAUAACAUGUCAGUAUCCAGCCACAACUUCUUGUUCAAAUCAAAUGACUUCUCUUACCUUGUUCCUCUCCUCGAUGUUCUUCAACUCCUCAGCGUUGCAGUGAGGUAAAAUCCGUUCCAGAAACUGGUCCGGUAUUCCCGCAACAUUUCCGAUGUGUUUAACAUUAUCAAUAACUUUUCGGAAACACAUAUCCUCCAAGGAAGGAACUUUAACUGUCUCAUUUCUUUUUCUGUUUCUGUUGGGUAUGGAUCUAUCCAUUCCUUCUGAAACGUCUGUCAUGAUAACAAAGUAGUUAUGAUAACAAAGUAGUUAGUACAAAUUAACUUUUCAAACAAUCAUAAAGCUAAGUGAGUAAGUCUCGCUGCACAAACUACUAAUAUUAAUAGUUACUGAUUAGUGAUUCAUAGUUCAUGUUCAUAAUACAUAAUUUCAUUUAUUCUUGCAAUGCUUAUCAAAAGAUGCAUAUACAAGUGACUGUAUUUGAGUGAGAAUGGGUUGAAAUCUCCAAUUCAUGUAAUAUUAGUGUUAUAAAUUUCAAUAUCUAACAUAUAUCGUUAUAUUUGGACCGACAGGCUCUUUAUUGAUUUUAAUUAAUCGAACUAAAAGUCUUAAAGGUGAGACCUUUUCACCCUGGGCUAAAAACAUACUAUCUGCCCACAUGCACAAACACAAACCAACUAUCGGUCACCCAAAACUUGUUCUUCUCUUUAUAACUAACUACUCACUGAAGUAUGUCCUAAGAUUUGAUUAACUCUUAUAUAAACACAACACAAACACAUAUAAACUCCACUCUAUAGGGAUAGAACCAGAACCAGAAGGGAAACAAUUCUUUGUCUUACAAGGUUCACAAACAUCAUGAGGAUGAACCAAAUCAAUAAUUCAAUAAAUCGUGUUUCAUAGACAAAUUUAAUAUCAACAUGAAUGUAAAGUUUCAAUCUUUAUAAAAACAUGUUCGACUCAACAAAGAAAAUCAACACACGAAACGAAAUUCAAUACAAUUACCCAUUUCCAACAACCAAGCACUCAUAAAAACAUAUAAACAUACAGUAAAUUCAAUGAAAACAGAGCACAAGAACUAAACUCACCAACAAGGGGUUGAUUACUUGAUUAGGCGAAGAGGAGAGUGCACAAUUGUUGUGAAUGAUGACUUGCUGCUGUGUGUAUUUUCGUAUUUAUACUUGAAUUUAUAAGCCCAUUUUAACUUGGACAGAGCUCUUUCUCGUGCUGGGCCUGUGACAAAGCCUGUGGAAACAGCCCCUCAAAAUCUGCUUAGCCUUAACUUAUAUUUCUUAUUUACCAUUCGUCCAUUUUUAAUAAUAUUAUCAUCAAAUGAUAUUAUAUAUUUCAUAUUAAUAUUUAAUUUGAUUUUGUUUGUUAUUAAGUUAUUUUAUAAACUUUUUUAUCGAUUUACUAUUUAUUUUUUGUGGAUAAUUCAUAUAUAAUCUUUAUUUUAUUAUCAAAAAUUAUUUAUUUUUCUAUAUUAUAUAUAGAUAAAAUUAAUUGUUUAAUUUUUCAGAGAGACUUCUAAAUUAUUGAGUCUUCUCACAUCACUUAAUUUAUUUUCUCAUUAGUGCUACUUAAUCUUUCAUACUUAUUUAUUGUGUAAAUUUUUAGUGUUAAAGAGGAUAGCAUAAAAAUAAUAUACAAGCAUGUUUAAAUUAAAAUUAAAGUAAUAAGAGAUUUAAAAAUUUUAAAAUGACUUAGUAUGAUAAAUUGUUAAAUAUUUAGGAUGACAUUGUUUGGAUAAUUUUAAUUUAUGGAUGUGUAAUAAUAAAAAUAAAUUUGAUAAAUUAAUACAUUUAAUGGUGAGGUUAAGAUAAUUAUAAUAAUAAAAUGACUAUGAGCUCAUUCUUUCUCUAAAAUUUCAUAUAAUUUUCUGACAUUCUAAAGAGAUCUUCUUGUUUAGAUUUUGUAUCAACUAUUAAUAUUAUAAUUUCUCUUGAUCUAGAUUUUACUAUAAAUUAUUUUUCAUGUCUUAUUUUUAAAACUAUACUCCCUCCGUCCCUUUGAAUUCUAUACACUUUCUUUUUAAACGUAUAUAACUCAGUGGGACGGAGGGAGUAUUAAUUCUUCUGGAUUUUUGUCUCAUUAUAAAUUUAAUUACAUAUUUCCGGCCAUUUGAUUGUCUAGAAUACUUUUCAUAUACUCGAUCAGGUGAUUAAAUUUUUUAAAGAAAGUCAAUCCAUACAUUCAUGUUUCUGCUGAAAAAAGUAAGAAACUUCCUCCUAAGUUUUAUUACACACAGAACAUUUUUCAGCCAAGUCUCCUGCCUCAAACUUAUACAAACAUUUUCACCCAAGUAUCCUGCGUAAAACUUAUGCAAAGAUUGAUCUUACAGUAAAGAUGAAUCAUACUCACUACGGCACUCUAAAGCUCUUAUUCAUAAGAGCUAAUGACUAAAAUGCUUUGGGGGCAGUUUUGAGCUUAUCUUAUUUUGUCAAUGUGAACUGAGGAUUGCUUGUCAUAAAUCAAGAGGAAUGGGGUGAACAAAUAGAAACAACAGACGAUCUUUGUCACGAGAACCUGGGGCACCAUGUCCAUCUCCAUAUAAAUAAACACAUGAGGCUAUCUUUGCAAGAUUUAAGCAAUUUUCAAUAAAAGGCUUGGACAUAGGAGACUCUGCAGACUCUUCAUUUAACUUCUUCCAUGUCUCAGUUAUCAAGUACUUAAUGUGUUCUCUGGCUUCGUCUUCCGAAACACCCUUGUCAUUCAUGUAGCAUUGAAUCGAUUUUGGAUUGUCCCCCCUCUCCAUUUCAUGCUGCAAAUUCCACAUCAUUCAAACUUAUGUACAUAAAUAAGAUGUAGGAUAACAUUUGACAAGAAGAGUAAAUAAUUAAAGAAUUUGUACCGAUGAAGUUGCCAUAUCAUCUGCAAGCCUCAAAAUAGUUGCUGAAUGACGAAGUAUGUUUGGACAAGCCAUUAAGCAUUGUAAGUCUUCGUGCUUCACCGAAUUUGGUUUCACGAAGUACAGAUGAGUUAACAGCACGGCACCUGAUAUUGAGAGCCAUGCUCUGUCGAGGUAUUCACUGAGACUUGGUUUAUAUCCGCUGUGGUACCACCUGGCCUCCACCAAAUAAGCUUCAAAAAGAUCAGUCCACUGCAUAAUUGUGUCAAUUGAGUCAAAAGUGAUAUUACUUCACACAUAAUGACACAAGUACACAGAAACGUUAGUUUCAGGGUCCUUUAAACUUGCCACUUUUUGAAAGUAAGGAAGGAUGAAGACACCAUGUUCACGUUGGAAAACAUUAGCUACUUCAUUGAUCUUAUUAUACAGAUCCGUAAAACAGAUCUUCAUAAAAUCUGGGAGUUGGUCCAGCUCUGCCGCAUCCCAACUAAUCAAGUAACCGCAGACAGUAUAUGUAUCAGUGUCCCAACAAUAAAUCAUUACAAAUAAUUGUAAUAAGUUUUCAGUAUAUAUAAUACAUGCAAUCAACCUUUUUGUUAAUUUUGUCAACAGUUCAAGUUCCUCCAAAGUACCAUACACAUCAUAGAUAUCGUCAAUAGUAGUUAUGAAGGCAUUAACAGGAGUGAGCACGCUCCUCGCAUAUUGAAACUCAGGCUCAAAGUUGGAACCCAGGCUCCAGUAGAAACACUCUACUAACCUUGCCCGCGCAAAGCUUAAUUUCUCUGCCCAUUGUAUGCUUUUCCACCAUCUGCACAUAAAUCACGAUAAGAUGCACAAUUCUGAAAUAAGGAGUUUGCCGAUUAAGGAAAAAUGAGAUUAAAAGAGCUACUAAUACCUUGACGACUCUUUGAGUUCAUCUUGAUAAAUCGCCUGGAGCAUGUUAUAGUCCAAUUUUGCAAAACGGAGCAAAUCAGAAUAAUUUGUAUCUUCUGCUAGUACUGAUGUCUCAAAGUAGUCAAUGUACCACCUUGCUUCGUGCCUUGUCUCCGUCCAAUGCAGUGGAAGUUCCAAGGCACGGCUAACAAGUUUACUAAGUUUCUCGUCUUUACUGUUGUUAUUAUUUACAUAAUCUCUCAUAUGUUUGGUUGUGAAAUGUUGUGCCUCGUCCAGUAUCUUCUCAUUCGUUUUUGAGUGGUAUGAGGCCUCGUACAAGUAUAGCAUACCCUUCAUGUCACUGGUGAGACUGAUCUUGAACUUACCUGAUUCGUUCAAAAAUCCAUUGAAAGCCUCUGCAUUUUCCAGUCAAAGAAGUUCCAAUAUCAGUUGUCAUCUAUUAGCAUGCAUAUAUACACUUGAGAACAACAUACUCACCUUGAGGAACUUUAAAAUAAUGUUGCCUCAAGAGUCGGAAUUUGAGAGAUGUGGCAUGCAAAUUAUCUUGGCCGUCCCACUUCUCAGUACUGUACACGGCUUCCAGAAUUCUAUUAAUUUCAUUCUUGAAGUGAUAACCCACCCCAAGCCUCUGAACUGAAUCAACUAACUCAAGCUUCUUGAGGCUGUCUGUAUCUUCUUUGUUGAGCAGCAUCCUCACACGUUCCUUCAAAUCCCCUGCAUAUUUAUUGAAUAUUUCUCCCUGCAUGUGUAAACAAUAUGAAAUUAAAGUUGUGAAGAACAACUGUCCACUAUAUUUACACUAAAAAACAUGAUUCUACCUUGAAAUCACUUGCAAGAGAUUGCACAAAAUCAUCAUCCCAGAUGGGAGGAGGAUAAUUCCCCGAUCGACGAACAAUUGAUUUGCCAUCGACACAUGCAUCACCUCUACUCACCAAUGCAGCAUCAUUACUAGUGCUGCGGAUACUAGUAUUAUGGAUGGCCUUUGUGGAUGGUGGCUUAAGAAGUGUAAAAGAUGCAGCUGGUUUCACCAUAAAACGAGUUGCAGAAAAACUCAUACCAACACUCACAGUGCUAACUAGAACCAUCACUCUAAUUAGCUAGUACAUGCAAACAACGCUUAAGCUAUGAUAGAAUGGCAAGUUCAGAACCUGUUUAAAUAGAGACUUGAGUGGCUUCGAACGUAGGUUCACUGUUUAGAAUUCCAAAAGUCAAUAUCUAACAAACAUGCAAAUUCAACGUUCGGCUCCUGUAGACAACUAAAAAAGUGAAGAAAGAAGACAUGUAAAUCAAUCUGAGCCUUCAAUUAAUAGUAAAUUCAAUGUUGGACUACUAAGAUAUUAUUAUUUUUAGGAUUAAGUCAAAAUAUUAAGUCAUUUAAAAAAAUAAUUAAGUAUCUCAUUUAUACAAAUAAAUAAGCAAUUUUUUUUUAAAAGCAGAACUUCUAUUAACAUCCAAUCUCCAACGAGAGAAAGGAGAAAACAUUACAGGGAAGCUGAAAACCUAACUACAUAAACCUAAAUUCCAGAACCUGAACAGAACUACUAAGACCGGACCUAGGAAGAAGAUUCUAAAUUGUUAAGCAUUCAUUAAAAUUAUCUAAUAAAAAAUAUAUUAUGUAAAUAUGAAUUUUGUCGUCCCACGAAAUAAGGUUUAAACGUGCCAUGUGAAAAAGACUUCCUUAACGGAACAUGUUUUUUAAGUUUUCCUUUCUUUUAGUCACGAUAAUCUUUUAACAAAAAUGUAUGCAUUUUAACACUGACGCGUAGCUAUUUAUGACAAAGACUUGCUAUAGCCCUCUUUUUAUUCAUUUCGCGGAUAUUCUGUUUAAUGUUUACUAGUUGAAAAACCGCGCGUUGCGGCGGCCUAUAAAAAUUAUAUAAAUAAUUCAAUAUUAAUAUUUGUAGAAUAAAAUAAUUUUAUGGCUGUUUAUAAAAAGUAUAUUAAUAUUUCAAAGUUAAUAUUUGUAGGAUAAAAUAAAUUUAUAUUAUAAAAAUCUUGUUGUAAUAUCAAUACUAAUAUAUAAAAUUGCAAAAUUGGACUAUAAUUCAUGAUGAAAAAAUGAAAAUAAAUUUAUACACGUAAUUAACAAUUUAAAGCAUGACGAAUCUUAAUUUUUUUUGAACAGUAAUCAUGUUUUUACAUUAUCAACUUCCUCCAAUUUUUUUGGAUUUAUUGUGCACAAAAACAUCUAACUUAAAUCUGUGAAAUAGCGGUCUAUAACUACCCUCUUAAAGUUGCUUGAACGGAACAAACAGAUAAUGCAUGAAUAAUUUUUUCUAGUAUACAAAGUGAAUCGUAUAAAAAUUAACAACAAACAUGUCCGAUGAACAAAGUUUGUUGAUAUCAACCAUCAAUGUCAUGUCAAGACUACUUUUCCCGUAUUUGGAUUUGUCGACUCCAAUAUAACGGUAUAUAACUAUCUUUGCUUGCAACAACCUUUGUUUUUUUAAUACUGUAUAAACAGUCUUCACUUAUCGUUGCAGAAAAACGGCACCUCCGAGUUAGAAAUCGAGCAAGAGAAAGAUAGUUCUAAUUUUUGAUAUUUUUCAUCCAAAAGUUUCAGAAAAUUAGAAAAAUAGAACGGAACGAUGUGAGAGGCGCCACCUACACGCCCCUAGCUUCUCCUUUAAAAAUCGAGUAAAAGAACUAUCACCAAAAAGAGUUAAGUCUGUGGUAUUGAGAGAGGAGGUUGUGUUUAGAUGAUUCAAAACCCUACGAUCUAUACGGAUAUUUAUAGUUGCAGAGAGACUUGUUUGCUACUCUUUUGCAUAAUUAAAUAAUCUGAACAAAAUCAGAUUAAAAUUUUCAAACUACUAUAUUCCAUAAAUAAUCUGUCUUUGCCAUUAUUAAAUAAUAUGAAACAAAAUCAGAUUAAAACUUUCAAGAUAUUAUAUUCCAUAAAUAAUCUGAAACAAAAUCAGAUUCUGAAACUUGUUUCCAAUAUACCCGAAACUAAAAAAAGUAAUUCUAAUUUUUGAUAUUUUUCAUCCAAAAAUUUCAGAAAAUUAGAAAAAUAGAACGGAGCGAUAUGAGAAGCGCCACCUAGACGCCCCUCGCUUCUCCUUUAUAUAAGUAUAUUGAUGCUUAAAUUUUCUUAUAAGUUUUUUGACAAUAAUUUUCCAAUUAUUUGGUUUAAUUAAAAAUUUAGAAAAUCGCUGUCAUUAAAAAUCAAAAAAUUGCGGGAGGUAUAAUUUAAUUUAUGAACAAAAAUGUGGCAAAUUUGAGAGUUACAAAGUCGGAAAUUAGUUACCUAGAACAUGUCUAUACUGGGUGUCAAAUGAAUUUUUUUCGUCACACGUCUAAAAGGAAUUUUAAUUAGACGAAUUUUGAAUUAGAACAAUCAAUCAUCAAUCAAUACACUUCGUUCUAUUUUUUUAAUUUUUUGAAAUUUUUGGAUGAAAAAUAUCAAAAAUUAGAACUACUUUUUUUUAGUUUUGAGUAUAUUAGAAGCAAGUUUCAGAAUCUGAUUUUGUUUCAGAUUAUUUAUAGAUUAUUAUGUGGGAGUUGACAAAUCCAAACACGGGAAAAGAAUAUGGUCUUGACAUGAUAUUGAUGAAUGAUAUCAAUAAAUUAACUAUUAGUGAUGUAUCUUUGUUAGUUAUUCUUUUAUAAUAUUUAUUUUUUUCAUCGGACAUGUUUGUUGUUGUUAAUUUUUAUAUGAUUUACUUUGUAUACGAGAAAAAAUUAUUCAUGCAUUAUCAGUUUGCUCUGUUCAAGGCUGUUUAUACAGUAUUAAAAAAUAAAGGUUGUUACAAGCAAGGGUAGUUAUAAACCACUAUCGCACGAAUUUAAGUUAGAUGUUUUUGUGCACAAUCAAUCCAAAAAAAUUGGAGUAAUGUGACGGUGUAAGAACAUGAUUACUUUUUAAAAAAAACACAAAUAAAAUUAAGAUUCAUCGUACUUUAAAUUGUUAAUUACGUGUAUAAAUUUAUUUCAUUUUUUCACCAUGAAUUAUAGUCCAGCUUUGCAAUUUUAUAUAUUAUAAAAUUUAUUUUUUAUCCUACAAAUAUUAAUUUUGAAUCAUUAAUAUAUUUUUUAUAGAUAGCCACAAAAUUAUUUUAUUAUACAAAUAUUAUUAUUAAAUCAUUAAUAUAAUUUUUUAUAGGCCGCCGCAACGCGAGGAUUUUCAACUAGUUUUCAUUAAUAAGAAAAAACUUAAUGAUGCCCGGAGGAAAUAAACUUUUGCUUAAGCGCUUUUAUAUGCCCCAAAAUUGUCGGGUGUCAAAACAACGGCAUCAAACGUUCCCACCACACCGCAAAAUGUAGUAGUUUUUAGCCCGUAAAGGUUGGUUCAGCUGGUUAAGGAGGUGAGGAUCAGAGCCUGUCGCGUUUAGAUGCGGUUUACCUUGGUUCACGUAGUUUGAAGGCAAUUGCGUGAGCGUGGUUUAUCUUGGUUCACGUAGUUUAAAGGCUAUUGCGUGAGCUCGUGAGUUUACUAGUGCGCACCCGAAGGUUAGCGGCUGCGGUUCCUGCGUACCUUGGUUCACGUAGUUUGAAGGCUAUUGCGUGAGCGCGGUUUACCUUGGUUCACGUAGUUUGAAGGCUACUGCGUGAGCUCGUGAGUUUACUAGUGCGCCCCCGAAGGGUAGCGGCUGCGGUUCCUGCCUUUAAAAAAAUGUAGUUUUUAUUUUUUGUGAUGUAGUUGCGGAUUUUAAUUUUAACAAAUCACGUGGUGCGGUACGGGACUACGGGUUGCGGUUUGACAUUAUAUAAACGCGGUCCAAACCGCACCGUUAUUUUCUAAUAUAUAAAUAUUUAUAAAUAUUUAUAUUAUAUAGAUAUAUUAUUUAUUAUGAUGUUAUCUUCUAUGUGUAUGUAUAUAUAUGUUCAAGUUGCUCAACAAAAUUUUAAUAAUUUUACAAUAUAAAUUAAGGGUAGUUGUAAGAUGACAAAUUAAUAUUAUUAUCAUAUUUUUUUCUCAUAAUAUAAUUUGUUAAUGUUGAAAUUUUCAUCAUUAUCAUACUUAUAUUUUAGUUUGUAUUUUUUUUUGAUAAAUAUCGUAACUCUAAAUUUGUGUGUAUAUAUAUUAUAAAAAUUAUUUUUAAAUUCAAAUAGUUUAAAAUUAUUUAUAUAUUGUCUUCAAAAGUAUAAUUUUUUUUAAUGUAUAAACAGCACGAACCGCACCACACAAUCCUUCUUUUUUUUUACCCAGUUUCUGGAAAUUGUCAACUAUUCGGGAAUGGGGAUACAUAAAAACAUUUCAAACAUUUUUGUAUCUGAAUACGGUUGUAUUGCUUUGUCUAGAAAAAUCCUAAAAAAACCCUAAGGUUGUGUUCACUUGGAUGGAAUGGAAUGAGGGGAGAAUGGAAUGAAACAUUAUAUAGAAAUUUUAUGGAGAAAAAAGAAAGUAUGAACUAAUAGUGACUAGAUAUGAACGAGUUCAAUUAUUUUUGUGAUCAAGAUUGUAAAAAAAUAUGAUGUAGAGAUGGAAUGAGCAUUCCUUCCAAAACAUGUGGGAUAAAAUUCUAGUUAAAAUAGUAGGAAUGGAAUGAUUGAAGGAAUGAAAAUUGUAUACAUUUUCUUUGAUCAACACCAUUUUUUAAUACAAAAUUCAUUCCAUUCUCCCUCCAUUCCAUUCACUCCAAGUGAACACAACCUAAGAUUUCCCUUGAGAGCAGGGAAUUCUGUGAGUUGUGAAGCAUAAAAUGAGCAGGAUGAGCUCUGUUACAACUUAAACCCGGCUCUGAACAACUGGAUUACAGCAUAUCAUGAAGCCGUUGCAUUUAAAAUUAUACUACAGGUCAUAAACACAAGGGCCUAUAAAAUUCAAACAAAAGAAUUAACAAAUAAUAUAACGAACCAGUAAAAAGAAAUCAGAACCAGUGUUGUAAACACAAACGGAGAUGUGAUCCAUCAAAGUAAAAUGUGUGAGGUCCUGGUUCAUAUCUAACAUCAAUUUUCGCGAAAAGGAAAUACUAAGGAGUUAUGAAGAGUACGGCUGAUGAGUGAUGAUAUCCUCGUUUGGAUAUAUAUGUACUUGCCAAGGGCCUAGACGCGGAACACAAAUUUGAUGCAGCUCAUUAUAAAUAAACAUGAUCACAUUUGUCUCCACUGAAAUUUGAACCUUCGUCCUCUUGUUCCUGGGUGCUACAUGCUUAUAAUGUACCAGUUCAGGCUGCUUAUGAUUCACAAGUGUGUACAUAUGUGAGUAAUUUUUUUGGCGAUUGACCUUUAUAAAAAAUUCUGUCUUAUUUCGUUGGCCAUACCAUGGGAGCUUUUGUGAAUGGACCAUCAUACUAUGUUUUUAAUGCAAUCAUGCGACUAUGUCGAUGAGGCAUAUAGCUGGUUUCUUCAAGUGUUUGAAUGUUCAUGACUACUUCCCUUGGGUAAAGAAGUCUAAAUGGUAUUAACUUGACUUUAAAAUCUGUAAAUGAAUAGCUGUUUGAUUUACUUACCAUCCCAUGUCUGGGAUGCUUCCUUACAAGGCAUAGUCGAGAAAACCCACCUAUAAACACCUCCUCCCUUUCUUUACCUCAACCAUCACUCUGAUCAACAUAGAUAAUAACCCUUAAAGAUAUAUAAUAAUCAUUGACAGAUCUCCAUGGCUCUGCGCCAAGCUCUGUAAUCUGGGGAACCUUGUAACUUUUCAACCUGAAUGGACUGAGGUCCAUCAGAAGGAUGNAUGAGUGAUGAUAUCCUCGUUUGGAUAUAUAUGUACUUGCCAAGGGCCUAGACGCGGAACACAAAUUUGAUGCAGCUCAUUAUAAAUAAACAUGAUCACAUUUGUCUCCACUGAAAUUUGAACCUUCGUCCUCUUGUUCCUGGGUGCUACAUGCUUAUAAUGUACCAGUUCAGGCUGCUUAUGAUUCACAAGUGUGUACAUAUGUGAGUAAUUUUUUUGGCGAUUGACCUUUAUAAAAAAUUCUGUCUUAUUUCGUUGGCCAUACCAUGGGAGCUUUUGUGAAUGGACCAUCAUACUAUGUUUUUAAUGCAAUCAUGCGACUAUGUCGAUGAGGCAUAUAGCUGGUUUCUUCAAGUGUUUGAAUGUUCAUGACUACUUCCCUUGGGUAAAGAAGUCUAAAUGGUAUUAACUUGACUUUAAAAUCUGUAAAUGAAUAGCUGUUUGAUUUACUUACCAUCCCAUGUCUGGGAUGCUUCCUUACAAGGCAUAGUCGAGAAAACCCACCUAUAAACACCUCCUCCCUUUCUUUACCUCAACCAUCACUCUGAUCAACAUAGAUAAUAACCCUUAAAGAUAUAUAAUAAUCAUUGACAGAUCUCCAUGGCUCUGCGCCAAGCUCUGUAAUCUGGGGAACCUUGUAACUUUUCAACCUGAAUGGACUGAGGUCCAUCAGAAGGAUGAAUAAACAGUGGAUUUAACAUAUCCUGAUAAGUUAGGCGUCCUGUCAUGAUUGAUCUUUAAGAGAUUUGAAAGAUUUAAGAUUGUUUGAAGAUGAGUGAGGAUAUUAACAAAAAAAUGCUCAAACUACUACUGCAAGAGUGGUUCUGAUACCAUGAUAACAAGAUAUAUGGAAGGUGAAGCAAAAACAUUACUUGUAGAUAGAGAAUGAACAGAAAAAGAGAAAUCUCAUAACUUGAUAAUAUCUCAAACAUGAAAAUGAAGACAACACUCAAUUUUAUAUGCUUACCAGGAGCAACUUUAUUAACCAGUGAUAUAGGUUCAGGUACAAAUAAAGUAGCCUAACAAACUGCAGGUGCACCUAGACAAACAUUAACCAUUGACCACACUCAGGUUUAUAUGCUUACUAGGAGCAAUUUAUUGAAUGCAAACAAACACAACCACAAACAUGGACAUAACAUAUAACAUGUUGUUAUGCUCCAUACUAAAUUCAUCAACAACAUAAAGCAAAGAAACUGGAAAGAGAGUGGAAGAAAUGAUGAAAUAUAAAGAUGAGAUCAGUCACAGCAAAACGUUCAAAGCUUCGAGGCUGCACGGUCUCGGUCACUAUAUAUCAUCAAAAUCUGGAUUAUUUUUGGAGUGCUGAGCUUAUUUCAUUUUGUCAGUAUUAACUGAGAAUUGCUCAAAGAGGAAUGGGGUGAACAAAUAGAAACAACAGACGCUCUUUGUCACGGGAACUGGGGGCACCAUGUCCAUCUCCAUAUAAAUAAACACAUGAAGCUAUCCUUGCCAGAUUUAAGCAGUUUUCAAUAAAAGGCUUGGACAAAGGAGACUCUGCACACUCUUCAUUUAACUUCUUCCAUGUCUCAGUUAGCAAGUACUUAAUGUGUUCUUUGGCUUUGUCUUCCGAAACACCUUUGUCAUUCAUGUAGCAUUGGAUCGAUUUUGGAUUGUCCCCCCUCUCCAUUUCAUGCUGCAAAAUCCACAUCAUUCAAACUUAUGUACACGAAUAAGAUGUAUAACACAUUUGACAGGAAGAGUAAAAUUAUAGAAUUAGUACCGAUGAAGUUCCCAUAUCAUCUGCAAGUCUCAAAAUAGUUGCUGAAUGACGAAGUAUGUUUGGAUAAGUCAUUAAGCACUGUAAGUCUUCGUGCUUCAGCGAAUUUGGUUUCACGAAGUACAGAUGAGUUAACAGUACGGCGCCUGAUAUUGAGAGCCAUGCUCUGUCGAGGUAUUCACUGAGACUUGGUUUGUAUCCGCUGUGGUACCACUUGGACUCCACCAAAUAAGCGUCAAAAAGAUCAGUCCACUGCAUAAUUGUGUCAACUGAGUCAAAAUGAAACUACUUAAUAAAAUAAGUACACAGAAACGUUAGCGACAGGAUACGUUAAACUUGCCACUUUUUGGAAGUAAGGAAGGACGGAGACACCAUGUUCACGUUGGAAAACAUUAGCUACUUCAUUGAUCUUAUUAUAGAAAUCCGUAAAACAGAUCUUCAUAAAAUCUGGGAGUUGGUCCAGCUCUGCCGCAUCCCAACUAAUCAAGGGACAGUAUAUGUAUCAGUGUCCCAACAAUGAAUCAUUAAGAAUAAUAGUCAUAAGUUUUCAGUUUAUAUAAUACAUACAAUCAACCUUUUUGUUAAUUUUGUCAACAGUUCAAGUUCCUCCAAAGUACCAUACACAUCAUAGAUAUCGUCAAUAGUAGUUAUGAAGGCAUUAACAGCAGUGAGCACGCUCCUCGCAUAUUGAAACUCAGGCUCAAAGUUGUAACCCACGCUCCAGUAGAAACACUCUAUUAACCUUGGCCGCGCAAAGCUUAAUUUCUCUGCCCAUUGUAUGCUUUUCCACCAUCUGCACAUAAAAUCACCAUAAGAUGCACAAUUCUAAAAUAAGGAGUUUGCCGAUUAAGGAAAAAUGAGAUUGAAAUAGCUACAAAUACCUCGACGACUCUUUGAGUUCAUCUUGAUAAAUCGCCUGGAGCAUGUUAUAGUCCAAUUUUGCAAAACGCAGCAGAUGAGAAUAAUUUAUAUCUUGUGCUAGUACUGAUGUCUCAAAGUAGUCAAUAUACCACCUUGCUUCGUGCCUUGUCUCCGUCCAAUGCAGUGGAAGUUCCAAGGCGCGGCUAACAAGUUCACUAAGUUUGUCGUCUUUACUGUUCUUACUAUUAUUUAUGUAAUCUGUCAUAUGUUUGGUUGUGAAACGUUGUGCCUCGUCCAGUAUCUUCUCAUUCGUUUUUGAAUGGUAUGAUGCCUCGUACAAGUAUAGCAUACCCUUCAUGUCACUGGUGGGACUGAUCUUGAACUUACCUAAUUCGUUCAAAAAUCCACUGAAAGCCUCUGCAUUUUCCAGUCAAAGAAGUUCCAAUAUCAGUUGUCAUCUAUUUGCAUCAAUGCAUGCAGAUAUACACUUAAGAACAACAUACUCACCUUUUCAGGAACUCUAAAUUUAUGUUGCCUCAAGAGUCGGAAUUUGAGAGAUGUGGCAUGCAAAUUAUCUUGGCCGUCCCACUUCUCAGUACUGUACACGGCUUCCAGAAUUCUGGUAAUUUCAUUCUUAAAGUGAUAACCCACUCCAAGCCUCUGAACUGAAUCAACUAACUCAAGCUUCUUGAGGUUGUCCAUGUCCUCUUUGUUGAGCAGCAUCCUCACACGUUCCUUCAAGUCCCGUGCAUAUUAGGGGUGAACACGGGUUGGGUCGGUCGGGUUAGAGCCGAUAAAACGACCCAACCCAAUUAGUUCGGUUUUUAAAAAUUCAACCCGUUAAUCCAAAAAUAUAUGUCUAACCCAACCCUACCCUUUUUAUAUUGGGUUGGGUUGGUUCGGGUUAGUUUGAUCGGUUUAGAAUUUUUAUAUUGUGAUGUCAAAAGAACUAAGGACUGGACUUGUGAAAAGUAAUAAACAAUUAAUUGUUUUUGUUUUUGACAUGAUAAUAUAAAAAUUUAUAUUUUUAUAAAUAAGAAUAAAAAUAGAUACUUAUUCAGUUUCAAUUUACAUGUCCACUUUUAUGAAAGAAAUUUUUUUAAAAUUAGUUGUCCACUUCAACUUUCAUAUUUUCAAAAUCAAACUCUACUUCAGAUAUCUCUUAUCUAUAUUUCCUAGAUCAAUAUGAUUGCACAUCUAUAUUUCCUACCAUCAAUAUCAUUGCACAUUAUGGGCAUAAUGAGUUACGAAACCAAAGCAAUAAAAUAUUUAUAAAUUAUGAAUUAUAUGGAUGCACUUAAUAUCAAAUGAGAGUGCAAAAAAGAAUUUGUAUGCACUAUAUUGUAACAUCACUAGAUUCAAACAAAAAGAUGAUGCGAGAAAAACUAAUUUAUUUGUUUUGUAUAUAAACGGGUUGGGUUGGGUUGGUUAAGGGUUAUAAUAUGUUAAACCCUGACCCAACCCAAUUUAUUCGGGUUUUUUGAAAAUGAACCCAUUUAACAAUCGGUUUUGGACGGUUCGGUUUAAUCGGCUCAAAAGAGGGUUGGUUUGGGUCGGGUUUCGCGGGUUGGGUCGGUUAUGUUCACCCCUAGUGCAUAUUCAUUGCAUAUUUCUCCCUGCGUGUGUAAACAAUAUGAAAUUACAGUUGUAAAAUUAUGCACUAUAUUUACACUAAAAACAUGAUUGUACCUUGAAAUCACUGUCAAGAGAUUGAACGAAAUCAUCAUCCCAGAUGGGAGGAGGAUAAUUGCCUGAUCGACGAACAAUUGAUUUGUCAUCAACACAUGCAUCACCUCUACUGACCAAUGCAGUAUCAUUACUAGUGCAGCGGAUACUAGUAGUAUGGAUAGACUUUGUGGAUGGUGGCUUAACAAGUGUAAGAGAUGCAGCUGGUUUCACCAUAAAACGAGUUGCAGAAAAACUCAUACCAAGACUCACAGUGCUAAUGAGGGCCAUCACCAUGAUUAUCGUAAAUGCGAGCAACGCUUAAGUUAUGAUAGAAUGGGAAGUUCAGAACCUGUUUAAAUAGAGAUUUCAGUGGCUUCGAACGUCGUUCACUUUUUUCGAAUUCCAAAUGUCAAUAUCUAACAAACAUGCAAAUUCAACGUUUGUAGACAAUUGAAAAAGUGAGAUCAAAACAUGCAAAUUAAUCUGAGCCUUAAAUUAAUAGUAAAUUCAAUGUUGGACUACUAAGAUAUUAUUAUUUUUUAAGAUUAAGUCACUUUUUGAGAAAAUGCCCAAAAUCUCACAUUUUGAUAAAGGAAGCGUCCAAAAUAUAUAUUAUCGGGAUUAGAGUCCUAUUUACCCGGUUAGAUACGCAUAGUCCACACACGUGUAUCUCCGACGUAAUCGUACAAAUAUCAUCUGCAACCUGUAGUCCUUUAACAAUACAUUCACACAUAACAUCAAACAAAUAAUAUGCAUUUUCAAGCAUAUAUACAUUAAUUAUAACACACAAACAGAACCCAAUUACUCAUACAUAUUUUAUACAAAAUCAUGAUAUAUACGACCAAUUAACUUAAAUUUAUCGUCUAGUAGAAUGCUAGAAUGAAGGUGGAGGCCGCUAUUUUAUAUUAACAAAAUCAAUGAUUUGCUAGUGAUGAGUCAAAUCAAUAAAUUAGAAAAAGUGACAAGGUCGUGAGAAAGUUGAGAAAAAUAUUGGAUUUGAUGGGUGAAUUGAAUCAACCAAACCGAAAACACAUGGGACAAAAAUAAUUUAGGCAAUUUCCAACAGUGGAACCAGUUUUUGUCUAAAUCUUGAUCCAAAUUUAGACCGAACCAUCUUUCCAUUCCAAUAGUUUGGCCUAAAUUUUGGUCCAAAUCCAUAUAUCAAUAUUUUAUUCUUUUAACUAUCUUUAUAUUAUUAUUCAAAUCUUUUAACAAUAAUAUAAGAUUUCAUAUUAAUAUUGAACUCGAAAAAUUAAUUAAAUUAUAAAAACAUUAUAUUUAAACAAUGAAAAUAAAAGAAAGUUUAAAAUUUUACUUAAUUAACUAAAAUAAAAAUUACAAAGAUUCAAUACUACUUCGAAUAAAUAUAUUGUUCCCACAAAUGCUCACUUAAUGCAUCUCAGAGUGUAAUAUGAGCUUCUUUAUUUUUAAUUUUUCGAUAUUGUCCAAGAAAUUAUUGAAAUCGAGCAUUUUCAUCAUUCUUAGUCGUCUCGAAAGUAAUCUUUAUCUUAUAUUUAAUGUAUUGUUGAUUUGAAUUAUCUUAAGAGUGUUUAAUUUUAUUAUAUUUCAUAUUUAAUAUAUAUAAUUAUUUCAAUAAAACAUAUUAAAUAUAAUUUAUAAAUAUUUAAUAAUUAUAUUAACAUAUAAUCAUUCAAUUAACUAAAUAUAAAAAGUUAAUAUUAUAUUAGUAAAAAGAUUUAGGCCGGUGAAUAGUGUCGGCCUAAAUUUAGGCCGGUACUAUUCAACAGCCCAAAUUUGAACCAAGAUUUAGGUCACUGUUGGGAAGAUUUAGGCUGAAACUGAUCCAAAUGUGGACCUUUACGCCAGUGUUAGAUUUGCCCACAGUGUGAUUAUGUGUCAUGAUUUCAACUAAACGAUGGACAGCUAAACGAUGGACACAUGACAAUGUACAACAUGCGCAUUUCCAGAACAUGACUUCAAGAGUUACGCAUCGCCAAAUUGCGUAUACAAUGCUUGUCUCAUGAAAAAUAUUCACACGCAUUUAUGUGAUGCGUAUUCAUCAUACAUGUUUUUUUUUACUGAUGUUUAUUUUGGUCACGUUUAAGUGAAAAUCAGUUAUAAAAGGCUCUCAACCUCAUUCUUUUCACAAAAUAUUAUUUUUUUAAAAAAAUAAAUAUUUCAUUUAUACAAAAUAAAAACUGUUAAACAUUUAUUAAUUAUUUAAUAAAAAAUAUCUUCUGUAAAUAUGAAUUUUGUCGGCUCAUUAAAUUAUAAGGUUUAAACAUGCCAUGUGAAAAAGACUUCCUUUUACCGAACAUGUUUUUUAAGUUUUCCUUUCUUUUAGGUACGAUAAUCUUUUUUCUUAGCUAAUCAGGAAACCCAACCGUGGGGACAAAGCCGAGAAGGCGGAUGGAGAAAAAGCAACAUCAAGCACAUGCAUGAAGGACUAGUAUUUAGUUUCAUUACACUGUUACUACUUACUAUAUCAUAGUGCCGGGAAGAUGCUCUGAUAAUGGAACUUAGUAGAGAAAAGCCGGUUUUCGACCAAAUGUUUGUGUUUAUGAGAGGUUUUUAAUAUGGAGGCAGAAAUUACAAAAAAACUUGUAAUUUUUUUUAUCUAAAAAUCUUUAAAUUUUUUUUUCACUAACAACCCCAAUAAAUUUUAUUUAAAAUUAUAUAGAAAUAUAUAUAAAAUAAAUCAGGGUUAAAUUUAAGUAUUUUUCCUUAUCUGCAUCUUUUUAUACAUAUAUGUGUCACAUAUUAGUUUUUUCUUUAGUAAUUUAUAAUAUUUUAAUUUCAUAAACCCACGCUAGGGAGAAGAUCCAAGGGUUUAUAUCAUGAGUGCCAAAGAAUAAAAUUAUUUUGAUCAUUUUUAUAAUUUAUUUAAACUUAAUUUAUAUUAAUUAUUCUGCUUAAGUCUCUAACUUCUACCAACCAUAUGUAUAUAUAUUUUACUCAAGAAUAAUUGACGGAUGGUGAUUUUAUAAUAUGAUAUUUGUUAGUUUGAUUUAUAAAAUAGCAUGAAAACAAAUGAAGAUGUGCUUGUUUGGUGUCUUAUUUUUUUUCUUUAUUUUUUCUUUUAUUAUAUUAAUUUGAAUUGUUAUAAUUUGUCAAGCAAGCUACUUAAUCUUGUUAAAACUCACGGACACGAAAUUUUGUAUUAAAGUUAUAAGUUGUACUUAUUUUAGAUCUUGUAAUUAAAUCUUCACAAAAAUAAUUUUUUUAGUUAUUUUUACUAAUUUUUGAUUAGUUUUAGUCAUGUUGUCACAUAAAAUAUGUGUUAAUCAUGGUUAGUACAUGUCAGCAAUAAGUAAUCUGAUUAAAUUUUUUUAUAGAUUUAGUAAAGUUUAUUAGGGUUGUUAGUCAAAAAAAAAAAGUUUAAAUUUUUUUGAAAAAAACCGGGAUUUUUGAUUAAUAACUUUUUUUUCCCUUUAUAUUUAUGAACUCUGCGAAGGAAAUCACUUGAUCUAACAAAAACGUUUGCAUUUUAACACUGACCCGUCCCGUAGCAAUCUAUGCCAAAGACUUGCUAUAGACGUCUUUUUAUUCAUUUCGACAGAAUUUCUAUUUAAUGUUUAUGCUUAAAUUUUCUUAUAAUUUUUUUGACAAUAAUUUUCCAAUUAUUUAGUUUAACUAAAAAUUUAGAAAAUUUCCGUCAUAAAAAAUCAAAAAUUGGCGGGAGGCAUAAUUUAAUUUAUGAACAAAAAUGUGGCAAAUUUGAGGGUUACAAAGUCGAGAAUUAGUUACCUAGAACAUGUCUAUAAUAGGUAUAAAAUGAUUUUUUACACAGGUUUAAAAUGAAUUUUGAAUUAGUUUGAAGUCAAAAGUCAAGACAAGGAAAAAAGUAGGAGGGUAACAUUUAACAAGGAUUAAUAACUGACUGUAAGACACUACUAACUUUCAGUUGCUAAGAAAAACCUAUAAUCAACCUAUCUGUGACUUGGCUAAACGAAAUUAGUGUAAAUAGAAACAUGCAUUCAGCGUCAUCUAUCACGUCUUAUAAUAGAUAAAGAGAUCGGACGCUUUUCAUGUCAUUUUCUUUCAACCCCAUGGAACCGGUGCUGUGGAUACGCAUGCUAAUCAGUAGUUUUCUGGUCAUGCUGUUGCUUAAGAAAUUUUGCUCACGUUUAUACCAAUACUUGCUGGAAAUUGUGGUGAUGCAAACGGUUUUCACCCAAUUCUAAUCAACAAACAUCAUAAUUCCUAAAAAUGUAUGUAAAUUUUUAAUGGUCGAUUUUGAAAAUAAAUAUGGAAAAAGAAAAAUAUAUGAGUAAAUAGUGAUAAAAUACGGGUGAAUUUAAAUUUUUUUUAUGAAGAAAAUUGUAGAAACAUAACGAAAAAGUGGAAUGAAUAUUGUUUCCGAACACGUGAGUUAUAUUAUGUUUUUGAGGUUUUAGUUUAUAUUAUAUUUUCGUGUAAGGGUUAUUUGCAAUUAAAUUUUAUCGAGUGUAAUCUUUAUUUUAUGUAUAAUGUAUUAUUAAUUUGAAUUAAAUAAAUUCUUAGGAGUUUUCAAUUUUAUUAUAUUUCACAAUUAAUAUAUAUAUAUAUAUAUAUAACUAUAUAAGUAAGUGAAAAAUAUUAAACAUAAUUUAUAACUUCGUAGUUAUAUUGAUAAUUAAUUAAUUAAUUAUAUAAAAUUGAAAAACUAAUAUUUUAUUAUUAAAAAAAUUUAGACAGCUGAAUAGUACCGACCACAAACCUAAAUUUUGAUGAGAUUUAAGUUAUUAUUGAAAAGAUUUAGGCCGGUGAAAUGGUCGCUUGCCUAUCCAGAAACUGAAACCAAAAUAAUAAAAUAUCAAACAAAAUCGUUAAAAACCGAAUCAAUUAAUAAUCCAACCAAAUAAAAACUGAACCCGUAAUAUGGUUGUGGUAAAAUUUUUUAAACGGGAUGUUGAAACUAGGGGUGUCGAUGGAUCGGAUUUGGAUCGGAUCACCCUUAAUCCAUAUCCUGAUCCGUCUAAUUUUAUCGGAUUCGGAUCCGGAUCGGAUUAUAGGCGGAUUUUUUAGAACAUGAUCCAUAUCCGGAUCCAUAGGAUUAUCGGAUUUUCGGAUCGGAGCUCCGCUCCAUGUAUAUUUUGAAAAAUAAAAAUUAAAAAGCGAAGUUAUAUAAAGCACACAUCAGUAAUUCAGUACACAUUAAUCCAUUCUCUGAAAAGUUAUAACAUUACAAAUGUUUAAAGGAAACUUAAAUUAAAAUAAAACAAUGGCAUGCAGUCUGUAACUUCUGUGGUGAGCAGGAUUGCAGGAAGCCAAGAACCAAGCAACUGGCAAACAGAUACUGCAAAAAAAGCAAACAAAAAAAAUAAUGUUCAUUAGUUACCAUCAAAGCAUAUUUCUAUCAAUGAUCUAAUUAUGCCAAAGUUGCAGACAACUAAAUAAUUUAGUAAACCACCAGACCAGAGCAUAUAUUCAGCAAACUACCUAUUCAGCCGCAAAUAAUAAGGUGCAAAUUAGUGCUCAUUUAUAAUAUAAAGAUUACUUCAUAAUGGACAAACCAAAACAUAUAUAUCCAAAACAAGAAAUAAAUAUAUAAAUAAUUAUAAAUAAAUAAAUAUAUAAAUAUAAAAGUCGGAUCGGAUUAUUUUCGGAUCGGAUCAUAUUAAAUCCAUAUCCUAUACAUAUCGGAUCGGAUUUUUUUCGGAUCGGAUUUUUUUCGGAUCGGAUUUUAUUUUAGCUGAUCCAUAUCCGCUCCGUUAGCUCUUGGAUCGGACCGGGUCGGACCGGAUAUCCGCUCCAUUGACAGCCCUAGUUGAAACCAGCAAGACACUAGCAGAAGGAAGACACCAUUACUACCAUUGCGGGUCAGUACUACAGAAGGUUGACAAGUGUGUGAAUGAAGCUAGUUAAGUUUCAUAUGCAAAUAAAUUAGUUGGUAGUCUUAGAAAGCAUCAGCUUCUUUAUCUUGUUUAGUUAUAAAAUCUUUUGGUGCUGCCUUGUUUACUGAUAUCUAUUUCAGUGCCACUAUUUGCUGCCUUAUGUAUACUGCAUAUGAGAAACUAGAAAUUUACAAAGGAACUAACAGUCAGAACAACUCCUUCCAUAGCUGGAUAGCAAUGCUGACUAAUAAUUGUUUAAAACCAAGUAACUCAAAUUUUGCUUUACAUAUAAAUAAAGCAAAAAACUUUGUUUUUUACCCAGGUUUUUGGAAAUUAUCAACUAUUCGGAAAUGGGGAUGCAUAAAAAAAUUUCAACAUUUUUGUAUCUGUAACACUAUUGUAUUGCUAUGUCUAGAAAAAUCCUAAAAAAGCCUAAAAUUUCCCUUGAGAGCAUAUAAUGAGCAGGAUGAGCUAUAUUACAACUUAAUACCGGCUUUAAACAGCUGGAUUACAGCAUAUCAUGAAGCCAUUGCAUUUAAAAAUAUAGUACUACAUAUCAUAAACACAGACCAAGGAGAAACUGAAAUUCUAUAGACUGCCGCUUUUAUCUUCUUUGUAACGCUCUGCUUCCUUGGGAAUUUGAAGAAGAACCAUUAGAAGAAAAGCCUCCAGGCUCCCGUAUACACAAGGGCCUAUAAAAUUCAAACAAAAGAAUUAACAAAUAAUAAGAUUAAUGUUGCAGCUUUUAAAAAUCUUCGACACUAACAAAUACCUGUCAUUCUUUUGCACCGCGUUUUGCCUCAAAGCUGUCAAGUUUCUUACUUCUUGACUAGUAUAAAUUGACAAAGGAAAGAUUAGACACAUUAUGCUGGAAGCAGGAACAAAAAGUAUAUGUCGUUCUAUAAAUAACUUUUAUAAUUAAUCAUGUUAAUUUUAUUGUCAACUCGUGUGUUGUUUAUUCUUCACAAGUUCUAGCAUCUGACUUUGAGAAACUUCAAUACACACAAAUAGUAUGUUUUAACUGGUAUAACUUAUGUACACUGUUCAAAAAGAGACCAGGUUUUACUCAACAUAAAAUUGAUUGAAAAUUGGAUCACUUCUUUACAACACAGUAUACAGCGCAAAGAACGACCUGAAGAAGCCAAAUCCUGUUAAGAUGGUGAUAUUAUAUUUCACAACCGAACAAUGUUCAACUACUUCCUUUAUAGAACUAAUACCUGUUGACAAAAUCAUCUCUGGACUUCUUCAUCAAGCUGCCUUUUGAGCUGCCAACAAUUCUGCCAGGUCCCCAACCUAAUCAUAUCAGUCAAAAAUUUAAUUAUUAAUAAGUAUUAGAAUAUUACAAUUGGAGGCCAUGCUCGUUCAUCAUUACACGAAAGGUGAUGCCAUAUAUAUUGAUACCUCCAUAACAAUUUCUUUUGUGGCUUGAAGGUGGCACUUUUGUACACGGCUUAACUUGUCUGCUCUUUUUUUCUGAUCAAGCGAACAACAUUCAAAAUUUUAAAAAAUAAUAGUCAAAAGAUUACAUCGAGUACAUGUAUUCUAAAAUAAAGAUAUCCAUUCCAAACUCUGAAAGUCUAAGAACACAAAAUUGUAGUGAAGGAUUAAUUCAAAUCCGCAGGUCUUGACUUUUGGCCAUUAAUCAUUUCUACAUGGACAUUUUUGGAGCUAUAUCCUAAAUAAAUGAUAUAUACAAAAUCAAAUUGUUUCCUCAAAUCCAAGGUGUUGACGGACUCUGAUUUUUGUAUUAAUGUUUAAAAGUUAUAUAGCACCUGUUUAGUAUACAAACAAUAGGACCAACACGAAGUCACUGAAUACUUGAAGUACGUUUACUCAGAAACAGAAGGAGGUAGUGAUAUGCAGGCCGGACAGGUUCGAAAAUGUUGGGAUUUGUGGGGGGGGGGGGGGGGGGGGGUUGUUUGAGGACAUAUAAAUUGCAUUAUAAAUAAUUAUGUAAUAGUACUUGAUUAAAUUCAUUAACAAAGCUCAGAGUUUCACUCAAAUAACACUGAAUACUUAAAUACAUUAACCUGUCACCCAUUUUAAUCACAGAACAAAUUAAACAUCAAUUACCCACUUAUAUUGCCUGAGAUGCCAAUCGACGGCCUGAGAUGGUAGUAGAUGUAGACAUGUAGUAGAUAGUAAUUUUAUAUUUGACAACACAAUUUAUCACUAUUUCUUAUUUUCUAACUUGUCUAAUUACCCAACCAAAAAAAUCUUAUUUACAUAACAUAAAAUUAAAGUUAAAGUAUGUCAAUCUUUUGCGACCAAAAUACUUACGAGCAUCUUCGUUUUGAUACAGUUGCCUCAUUCGCUCAAUUGAUUUUUGUUCAGCCUCUUCCACGUUCUUUAGCUUUGCCUGCACAAUAAAAAUUACAGUGAUAAAGCAUGAAAAUGCAAGUUAGCAGUGAUAAUCAUAGUGAUUAUUGACAAAGUCGAUUUUCUUUUUGAAUUCGUAAAUUAAUUAUAAUUUAAAUUGCCAUAUGGUAGCUAUUGUCAAAUCCUUUUUAGGAAUUAACCGAUUUCCGUAAUAAAUUUAUAAAUAAUGGGGUGUUGAAGGACCCUCGUAUUACAGAUCUCAGUCGAAAAUAAUUUCGCCUAAUUCCUCACUCUUUAUCAGAAAACUCUCUAUUAUAUACCCUAUCUGUCAUAAUCACACAAUAUCAAUCGCCUCAUCAUUUAGCCGAUCUUCUUCUCUAGCCCUCCCUCGUUUCACGACAAUCCUUUUCAGUUUUCUUAGUCAAUUGACUUCUCAACCUGGACCGUAACCCACCUAAUCCAUUCUUUUCUCUACCCCUCCCCCGUUUAAAGAAGACCAUUUCAAUUCUCACAGUCAAUUGAUUUUCUGACCCGGUCCGUAACCCACCUUAACCUUUUUGUAUAGUACCCCUCCACAAUAACUCAACCUCCAAGAUCUCCCAACUUGUCCCAAACAUCCAAUUUUUAAAUGGUAAGCUCAUGAUUGAUUCUCUUGAGAAGCUGUGGCGGGUGUGAGAAGAUAAGGAAAGAUUACAGGGCAUUACAAACUUGUUGUAGCCAACGCCUGACUUCUAGUGGUGCCAAUGAUGGCAGCGGUGGAUAAUUAAAGAUAGUCGAGAAAUAUCUGGAUCUUGGUUAAAUCACAGUCUUGAUGAUGUGGAUGCUUAUGUUUGUGUAAAGCUAAAUCAUUGAAAAAGGUAUGUAUACAUUUCUUGAAAGAGAUGCACAAUUAUUUUUUUAGAGGAGGCAGGUAUAUAUUUAACAAAUUCAAACACUGAUUUGAAAGAUAGCGACACAGAAGAAUAAGAUUACCUCGUACAAGUCUUUCCAUCUGAAGGAUACAUUUUUACUACUGAUUUUCUCAACCACUGACUUGAAACUCCUCUGACCAAAUCUCUUCUGAUAGAAAUUUUGCCAGAGAUAGUUAGUCAAGUGGCUAAGGUCUAUUCCCUACAAAAGAAAUCAAAUAACAUGUCAGUAUCCAGCCACAACUUCUUGUUCAAAUCAAAUGACUUCUCUUACCUUGUUCCUCUCCUCGAUGUUCUUCAACUCCUCAGCGUUGCAGUGAGGUAAAAUCCGUUCCAGAAACUAGUCCGGUAUUCCCGCAACAUUUCCGAUGUGUUUAACAUUAUCAAUAACUUUUCGGAAACACAUAUCCUCCAAGGAAGGAACUUUAACUGUCUCAUUUCUUUUUCUGUUUCUGUUGGGUAUGGAUCUAUCCAUUCCUUCUGAAACCUCUGUCAUGAUAACAAAGUAGUUAGUACAAAUUAACUUUUCAAACAAUCAUAAAGCUAAGUGAGUAAGUCUCGCUGCACAAACUACUAAUAUUAAUAGUUACUGAUUAGUGAUUCAUAGUUCAUGUUCAUAAUACAUAAUUUCAUUUAUUCUUGCAAUGCUUAUCAAAAGAUGCAUAUACAAGUGACUGUAUUUGAGUGAAAAUAGGUUGAAAUCUCCAAUACAUGUAAUAUUAGCGUUAUAAAUUUCAAUAUCUAACAUAUAUCGUUAUUUUUGGACCGACAGGCUCUUUAUUGAUUAUAAUUAAUUAAACUGAAAGUCUUAAAGGUGAGACCUUUUCACCAUGGGCUAAAAACAUACUAUCUGGCCACAUGCACAGAAACAAACCAUCGGUCACCCAAAACUUGUUCUUCUCUUUAUAACUAACUACUCACUGAAGUAUGUCCUAAGAUUUGAUUAACUCCUAUAUAAACACAACAAAAACACAUAUAAACUCAACUGUAUAGCGACAGAACCAGAACCAGAAGGACAGACAAUUCUUUGUCUUACAAGGUUCAGAAACAUCAUGAGCAAGCAACGAUGAACCGAAUCAAUAAUUCAACAAAUCGUGUUUCAUAGACAAAUUCAAUAUCAACAUGAAUGUGAAGUUUCAAUCUUUAUAAAACAUGUUCGACACAACUAAGAAAAAACAACAAUUUUCGGACCACGAAGUGAAAUUCAAUACAAUUACCCAUUUCCAAUGAACAAGCACUCAUAAAAACAUAUAAACAUACUGUGAAUACAAUGGAAAUCAGAGCACGAUAACUAAACUCACCAACAAUAUCAAUCAAGGGGUUGAUUAGGCGAAGACGAGAGUGCACCAGUGUUGUGAAUGAUGAAUUGCUGCUGUCUGUAUUGUUGUAUUUAUACUUGAAUUUAUAUAAGCCCAUUCUAACGUGGAUGGACCUGUUUCUCGUGCUGGGCCUUUGAUAAAGCUUGUGGAAAAAAGCCUGUAACAUAGGUCUCAAAAUCUGGGCACCCCAAUUUUCAAACUCAUAUAAAUAUAUGCUUUACCUUUAUUUUAUUUUAUUAUAUGGUGCGAAAUAAAAUAAAAUUUUAAUUUAUAUUUUUAUUUACCGUCCAUCCAUUUGCAAUAAUAUUAUCAUAAAUUGGUAUUAUAUAUUUUAUAGUAAUAUUUUAAUUAAUUUGAUUAUUAUUUAUUAAUUUUUUUAUCGAUUUAUUAAAUAUAAUUAGUGAUGAUUUCAAAAAAAAUAUUUUUAGUGAAUAAUUAAUAUAUUUUAUUAUUGUCAGAAUUCACUUAUUUUUAAUAUUUAUUUAUUCAGUCACGUCACUUAAUUUUAUUUAUUAUAAAUAAAAUCAAAUAAAAUAUUAAUAUGAAAUAUAUGAUAUCAAUUUAUGAUAAAUAUUAUUAAAAAUGAACGACUGUAAAUAAAAAAUAUAAGUUAAACAUUUUAUUUAAGAUACAAUAAAACAAAAUAAAAGGCAAGUCAAUGUAUAUGAGUUUGAAAAUUGGGCUAGGCAGAUUUUGAGACCUAUGGCUACAGGCCUGUUUCCCCAAGCAGCCAAGCUUUAUCACCGGCCCAUCAUGAGAAACAGGUCCGUCCAAGUUAAAAUGAACUUGUACAUUCAAAAUUCAUUCUAAAAGCAGCUCAAUAUGUUUUUGAUUUCUACUCAUAUUAUCAUAGUAUAGUACAAGUACAACAAUAUAUACAACAGCAAGUCAUCAUUGACAACACUCUGCACUCUGCUCUUCGCCUAAUCAACUCCUUCAUUGAUAUUGUUGGUGAGUUUAGUUCUUGGGCUCUAUUUUUCAUUGAAUUUAUUGUUUUUUUUAAUGUUUUUAUGAGGGUUUGUGUGUUGAAAAUGGUAAUUGUAUUGAAUUUCACCUCGUGGUCUGAAAUUGUUGCUUUUCUUAGUUGGCUCGAACAUCUUUUAUAAAGAUUGAAAGUUUACAUUUAUUUUGAUAUUAAAUUUAUCUAUGAAACACGAUUUAUUGAAAUAUUAAUUCGGUUCAUCAUUGCUUGCUCUUGUAAGACAAAAAAUUGUCUGUCCCUCUGGUUCUUGGGGAUAGAGUUGAGUUUAUAUGUUUUUGUGUCGUGUUUAUAAAAGAGUUGAUCAAAUCUUAGGACAUGUUUCAGUGAGUAGUUAUAAAGAGGAGAACAAGUUUUGGGUUACUGGUUUGUGUUUGUGCCUGUAGCCAGAUAGUAUAGUAUGUGUUUAGCUCAGGGUGAAAAGGUCUCACCUUUAAAACUUUCAAUUCGAGCAAUUAUAAUCAAUAAAGAGCAUGUCCGUCCAAAAAUAACGAUAUAUGUUAGAUAUUGAAAUUUAUAACACUAAUAUUACAUGAAUUGCAGAUUUCAACCCAUUGUCAGUCAAAUAUAGUCACUUGCAUAUGCAUCUUUUUAUAAGCAUUGCAAGAAUAAAUGGAAUUGUAUAUUAUAAACAUGGACUAUGAAUCACUAAUGACUAAGUAUCAAUAGUAGUAGUUUGUGCAAUGAGACUUAGCUUUAUGAUUGUUUGAAAAGUUUAUUUGUACCAACUACAUUGUUAUCAUGACAGAGGUGUGAAGGAAUGGAUAGAUCCAUACCCAACAGAAAAAGAAAUAGAAAGGAGACAUUUAAAGUUCCUUCCUUGGACGUUUUGUGUCUCCAAAAAGCUAUUGAUAACGUUAAACACAUUGGAAAUAUUGCGGGAAUACCGGACCAGUUUCUGGAACGGAUUUUACCUCACUGCAACGCUGAGAGUUGAAGAACAUUGAGGAGAAGAACAAGGUAAGAGAAGUCAUUUGAUUUGAAAAAGAAGUUGUGGCUGGAUUUACUGACAUGUUGUUUGAUUUCUUUUGUAGCUAGGGAACAGACGUUAGCCACUUGACUAACUAUCUCUGGCAAAAUUUUCAUCGGAAGAGAUAGAGAUUUGGUCAGAGGAGUUUCAAUUCAGUGGUUGAGAAAAUAAGUAGUACAAAUGUAUCUUUCAGAUGGAAAGACUUGUACGAGGUAAUCUUAUUCUUUUGUGUCGCUAUCUUUCAAAUCAGUGUUUAAAUUUGUGAAAUAUAUACCUGCCUCUUCUAAAAAUAUAAUUGUGCAUCUCUUACAAGAAAUGUAUACAUACCUUUUCAAUGAUUUAGCUUUGAACAAACAUAUGCAUCCACAUCAUCAGUGAAUACCUCGACAGAGCAUGGCUCUCAAUAUCAGGUCCCGUAGGACCCGUACUGUUAACUCAUCUGUACUUUGUGAAACUUAAUUCGGUGAAGGAAGAAGACUUACGGUGCUUAAUGAUUUGUCCAAACAUAAUGCGUCAUUCAGCAACUAUUUUGAGGCUUGCAGAUGAUAUGGCAACUUCAUAGGUACUGACUCUUUAAUUUUACUCUUCUUGUCAAAUGUUAUACAUCUUAUUUAUGUACAAUAUAGUUUGAAUGAUGUGGAUUAUGCAGUAUGAACUAUGAAAUGGUGAGGGGUGACAAGGGUGUUUUAGAAGACGAAGCCAGAGAACACAUUAAGUACUUGAUAACUGAGACAAGGAAGAAGUUAAAUGAAGAGUGUGCAGAGUCUCCUUUGUCCAAGCCUUCUAUUGAAAAUUGCUUAAAUCUGGAAAAGAUAGCUUCAUGUGUUUAUUUAUAUUUGUAAUUUCUGUAAUUACAAAUAUUUCUUACUAUUUGUUCAUCCCAUUCCUCUUGAGCUAUGACACGCAAUCCUCAGUUCACAUUGACAAAAUGAAAUAAGCUCAAAACUUCCAUUUCUGAUGUACCAGCAGGAUCCCGUUUGAGCAACUUUGCGCCCAAGCAUUUUAGUCCUUAGACAUUAUGAAUAAGCUGAGCUUUAGAGUGCAGUAAUCAGUAUCAUACAAGUUUUAUUAUUCACAUAUAAACUUAUAAGCAGGAGACUAAUGUGAAAAUGUUUGUGCUUGUAAUAAAUUUGUUUAUCUAGUAAACUUUUUUUUUUCAGGAUCUAGUAAACUUCUUAAUAGAAUAUGAAUGUGAAACUUCUUUUUGAUGGACAGAAUAUUUUUUCCCCAAAAUUUAUCAUUUGACACAUAUAUAUGAAAAAAGUAGUCUAGACAACGAAAUGUAUGAAAAUAAAAAUUAUAUAAUUAAAUUUAUAAUAGGACAAAAAUCUAGAAGAAAUAAUAAUUUUUAAGAAUAUAUCAAUUUAUAUUAAAAGAAAAUUAUAAAAUUAAUAGUUGAUACAAAGUGUAAAACUAAACAAGGAGAUCUGUUUACUUUGAUGGGAAAGUUUGUAUGAAAUUUUUAGAAAAAAAAGAGCUUAUAGCUAGAAUUCCUUGAGGAGUGCUUCUGCUGAUAAUAAUAAAUAAUUAUAAUAAAUAAUUAACUAUGAGCUCUAUCUUUAUCUAAAAUUUUAUAUAACUUUCCGAUUAAUUAACGAGAUCCUUCUUGUUUAGGUUUACACUUUGUAUCAACUACACAUUUUGCUAUAGAUUAUUUUAUUUUUUAUUUUUAAAACCAUAUUAAUUCUUCUGGAUUUUUGUUUUAUCAUAAAUUUAAUGACAUGAUAUUUAUUCGACCAUUUGAUUGUCUAGAAUACUUUUCAUAUACUCGGAUCAGGUGAUUAAAAUUUUAAAAAAUUACUUCCAAGUUUUAUUACACACACAAGCAUUAUCAGCAUAGUCUGCUGCUUCAAAUUUAUACAAACAUUUUCACCCGAAUAUCCUAUGCGUAAAACUUAUACAAAUUGCACUGCAUCUAUGUGCACUGAUGCGAAGAUUAAUCUUACAGUAAAGAUUAAUCGUCAUGUGUACUUAUAUACAGGUUACAUGUAAAUAAUAAAAAUUCAUCAUACUCAUUACGGCACUCUAAAGCUCUUAUUCAUAACAGCUAAUGACUAAAAUGCCUUGGGGGCAGUUUUGAGCUCAUCUUAUCUUGUCAAUGUGAACUGAGGAUUGCUUGUCAUAACUCAAGAGGAAUAGGAUGAACAAACAGAAACAACAGACGCUCUUUGUCACGAGAACCUGGGACACCAUGUCCAUCUCCAUAUAAAUAAACACAUGAAGCUAUCUUUUCCAGAUUUAAGCAAUUUUCAAUAAAAGGUUUGGACAUAGGAGACUCUGCACACUCU